UAUAGCUGGUUUGAGAGGAUGAUCAGCCACACUGGGACUGAGACACGGCCCAGACUCCUACGGGAGGCAGCAGUGGGGAAUAUUGGACAAUGGGGGCAACCCUGAUCCAGCGAUGCCGCGUGAGUGAUGAAGGCCUUAGGGUUGUAAAACUCUUUCAGGUGGGAAGAUAAUGACGGUACCCCCAGAAGAAGCUCCGGCUAACUCCGUGCCAGCAGCCGCGGUAAUACGGAGGGAGCUAGCGUUGUUCGGAAUUACUGGGCGUAAAGCGCGCGUAGGCGGAUUAGCAAGUUGGGGGUGAAAUCCCGGGGCUUAACCUCGGAACUGCCUCCAAAAC
rnacentral:rRNA from 1 species